GGUUAAGCGACUAAGCGUACACGGUGGAUGCCCUGGCAGUCAGAGGCGAUGAAGGACGUGCUAAUCUGCGAAAAGCGUCGGUAAGGUGAUAUGAACCGUUAUAACCGGCGAUGUCCGAAUGGGGAAACCCAGUGCAAUUCGUUGCACUAUCGUUAACUGAAUACAUAGGUUAACGAGGCGAACCGGGGGAACUGAAACAUCUAAGUACCCCGAGGAAAAGAAAUCAACCGAGAUUCCCCCAGUAGCGGCGAGCGAACGGGGAGCAGCCCAGAGUCUGAAUCAGCUUGUGUGUUAGUGGAACGGUCUGGAAAGUCCGACGGUACAGGGUGAUAGUCCCGUACACCAAAAUGCACAGGCUGUGAACUCGAAGAGUAGGGCGGGACACGUGGUAUCCUGUCUGAAUAUGGGGGGACCAUCCUCCAAGGCUAAAUACUCCUGACUGACCGAUAGUGAACCAGUACCGUGAGGGAAAGGCGAAAAGAACCCCGGCGAGGGGAGUGAAAAAGAACCUGAAACCGUGUACGUACAAGCAGUGGGAGCACCUUCGGGUGUGACUGCGUACCUUUUGUAUAAUGGGUCAGCGACUUAUAUUCUGUAGCAAGGUUAACCGUAUAGGGGAGCCGCAGGGAAACCGAGUCUUAACUGGGCGUUAAGUUGCAGGGUAUAGACCCGAAACCCGGUGAUCUAGCCAUGGGCAGGUUGAAGGUUGGGUAACACUAACUGGAGGACCGAACCGACUAAUGUUGAAAAAUUAGCGGAUGACUUGUGGCUGGGGGUGAAAGGCCAAUCAAACCGGGAGAUAGCUGGUUCUCCCCGAAAGCUAUUUAGGUAGCGCCUCGUGAACUCAUCUUCGGGGGUAGAGCACUGUUUCGGCUAGGGGGUCAUCCCGACUUACCAACCCGAUGCAAACUACGAAUACCGAAGAAUGUUAUCACGGGAGACACACGGCGGGUGCUAACGUCCGUCGUGAAGAGGGAAACAACCCAGACCGCCAGCUAAGGUCCCAAAGUCAUGGUUAAGUGGGAAACGAUGUGGGAAGGCACAGACAGCCAGGAUGUUGGCUUAGAAGCAGCCAUCAUUUAAAGAAAGCGUAAUAGCUCACUGGUCGAGUCGGCCUGCGCGGAAGAUGUAACGGGGCUAAACCAUGCACCGAAGCUGCGGCAGCGACACUAUGUGUUGUUGGGUAGGGGAGCGUUCUGUAAGCCUGCGAAGGUGACCUGUGAGGGUUGCUGGAGGUAUCAGAAGUGCGAAUGCUGACAUAAGUAACGAUAAAGCGGGUGAAAAGCCCGCUCGCCGGAAGACCAAGGGUUCCUGUCCAACGUUAAUCGGGGCAGGGUGAGUCGACCCCUAAGGCGAGGCCGAAAGGCGUAGUCGAUGGGAAACAGGUUAAUAUUCCUGUACUUGGUGUUACUGCGAAGGGGGGACGGAGAAGGCUAUGUUAGCCGGGCGACGGUUGUCCCGGUUUAAGCAUGUAGGCUGGUUAUCCAGGCAAAUCCGGAUAAUCAAGGCUGAGGUGUGAUGACGAGGCACUACGGUGCUGAAGUAACAAAUGCCCUGCUUCCAGGAAAAGCCUCUAAGCAUCAGGUAACAUCAAAUCGUACCCCAAACCGACACAGGUGGUCAGGUAGAGAAUACCAAGGCGCUUGAGAGAACUCGGGUGAAGGAACUAGGCAAAAUGGUGCCGUAACUUCGGGAGAAGGCACGCUGGUGUGUAGGUGAAGUCCCUGCGGAUGGAGCUGAGACCAGUCGAAGAUACCAGCUGGCUGCAACUGUUUAUUAAAAACACAGCACUGUGCAAACACGAAAGUGGACGUAUACGGUGUGACGCCUGCCCGGUGCCGGAAGGUUAAUUGAUGGGGUUAUCCGUAAGGAGAAGCUCUUGAUCGAAGCCCCGGUAAACGGCGGCCGUAACUAUAACGGUCCUAAGGUAGCGAAAUUCCUUGUCGGGUAAGUUCCGACCUGCACGAAUGGCGUAAUGAUGGCCAGGCUGUCUCCACCCGAGACUCAGUGAAAUUGAACUCGCUGUGAAGAUGCAGUGUACCCGCGGCAAGACGGAAAGACCCCGUGAACCUUUACUAUAGCUUGACACUGAACAUUGAGCCUUGAUGUGUAGGAUAGGUGGGAGGCUUUGAAGCGUGGACGCCAGUCUGCGUGGAGCCAACCUUGAAAUACCACCCUUUAAUGUUUGAUGUUCUAACGUUGGCCCCUUAUCGGGGUUGCGGACAGUGUCUGGUGGGUAGUUUGACUGGGGCGGUCUCCUCCCAAAGCGUAACGGAGGAGCACGAAGGUUAGCUAAUCCUGGUCGGACAUCAGGAGGUUAGUGCAAUGGCAUAAGCUAGCUUGACUGCGAGCGUGACGGCGCGAGCAGGUGCGAAAGCAGGUCAUAGUGAUCCGGUGGUUCUGAAUGGAAGGGCCAUCGCUCAACGGAUAAAAGGUACUCCGGGGAUAACAGGCUGAUACCGCCCAAGAGUUCAUAUCGACGGCGGUGUUUGGCACCUCGAUGUCGGCUCAUCACAUCCUGGGGCUGAAGUAGGUCCCAAGGGUAUGGCUGUUCGCCAUUUAAAGUGGUACGCGAGCUGGGUUUAGAACGUCGUGAGACAGUUCGGUCCCUAUCUGCCGUGGGCGCUGGAGAAUUGAGGGGGGCUGCUCCUAGUACGAGAGGACCGGAGUGGACGCAUCACUGGUGUUCGGGUUGUCAUGCCAAUGGCACUGCCCGGUAGCUAAAUGCGGAAGAGAUAAGUGCUGAAAGCAUCUAAGCACGAAACUUGCCCCGAGAUGAGUUCUCCCUGAGACUUUAAGUCUCCUGAAGGAACGUUAAAGACGAUGACGUUGAUAGGCCGGGUGUGUAAGCGCAGCGAUGCGUUGAGCUAACCGGUACUAAUGAACCGUGAGGCUUAACCUU
rnacentral:rRNA from 1 species